CGUGGGCUGCUCUGAUGUAAAGGGCUACUCGGGAGGAAGCGUCAUUAUAAUCUCUAAUCUAAAAUGGGAUUCAAGACAAAGUAAAUAUGUUUGUAAGGUGGGAAAAGAAGCCUGCAGAGAUUUAAUACAUUUUAACACCAAAGAGGACUAUGUUAUAGUAGAAAGAUUCAUGCUGUAUUCAAACACAAAAGGAUAUAUGACAGUGUUUAUCAGACAGCUGAAGCUACAAGACGCAGGAACAUACAGAAUAGGAGUAGGGACUGGGAAGAGCACUGAUGUAAACCUGGCAGUUGUUAAUGAUUCCUGUUGUUCUGGGCCAAAAUAAUAAAUGCUUGUCUUGGACAAAAUACCAGCAUCAUCUGUAACUAUCCAGCAGUGUAUGAGAGAAACUACAUACAUAUCAAUAAACUCGAUAAUAACCGUGUUAUUAAACACAUUCUUAACACUCAGACAAAACCUCAGAACGGCAGAUUCUCCAUUUCCAAUGACACAAGUGCUAAAGUUCUCAGUGUGAACGUCAGUGAAGUGAGAGAAGCUGAUGAUGGAGUUUAUUUAUGUGGAGUGUAUAUCGGAGAGGGCUCAGUCCCGUUUUACUCCUACUUCACAGAGAUCCAGCUACACAUUCCAGCAAUUCACAUGAUAACAUCCGCAGCACCAAAAGAAAUCCCAUCUGAUGCUGAAUGUUUCAGUUUUUUUUUCAUCAUCGGUGUGUGUGUCUGUGUGGCUCUGCUGCUGAUUGGAGGAUUUGCACUGAUGAUCUACAAAAUGAGACACAAGAGAACACACGAUUCAACACCUUCAUCCACAGACAGUGAAGAGGCUUCUUCUGUUUAUGAGAAUGACCUGGAUAAUUUUACCCCCAUAUGAAAACUUGAACAGUGUAAUAAGAUUGAAUCAUCAGAAUCUGCAUUCAAUUACAAGCCAAUCAGAUUCAACAUACCAAACACUGGACCCCCGCACCAACCAAGCUGAUUCAGGCUACACAUCUCUGACUUACACCACCGACCAAUCAUAUUCACACUACCAAUGUCUGAAUCCUAGAACUCAGACUAACUCCGUUUACCACACCCUGCAUUCUUAAUGCUUACUUUUUUAUUUAUUCUUUUAAUUGUGAUGCAAAGUAAAAAUGUAAUUGUGGUGAAUUGCUGUGGUAAAAGUUUGGACCUGAUGUUAUUGGAAUAUAAUCACCUCAGGCUGGCAAUAGUAACUCCCUAUAAUUGAUUAUUUCCCAAUAACAGCUCGCUCAAUCGUGUUUUAUUCUGUACUGUUACUUCUGUACUGUUUUAUUCAUGUCAAUAAUGUAAACUUAAAACUGUGAUGUAAUGUUAAAAAAAAAAAUGGGGGAAAAUGUAUAUCAUCUAUAUGUGAAUGAAAUGUUGGUGGCAUGAUGACGUGGUAUUAGGUGAGGAUUGCAUCGUAACACUUGAGUGAAACUCUAUGCCAUAUAAAUAUCAGUUUUAUAAGUGUACUUGCAUAUUGAGUGAAAUUUGAUGGCAAAUUCAUGUAAAGAAAAACAAAAUAAAUUAUUUUAACUUUAAUAAUCAAGGUGCAUGUGAGCAGUUCUUCAUCAAAAAAAAAUUUCAAUUUUAAAUGUUUUGUCUGUGGAUAUUUCAGUGACCAUUGUUACGGAGCAGAGGGAUAAACAGGAAGUAAGUGCAGGAGCACUGUCUUUAUUAAUAAAUCAAUGAAACAAACAAGCACACACGGGAACGCGUUCUAUACAGAGUUAGCGAGAAAACAUGGGACUAGAGUCGAGGCAGGAAACAGGACAUGAAAACCAAGACCGCUCAGCAGCCUCGUCUCUGUUUGUUUACCAAGCCGAUU
ensembl:lncRNA